UUUGCUGACGAGUGGCGGACGGGUGAGUAAUGUCUGGGAAACUGCCUGAUGGAGGGGGAUAACUACUGGAAACGGUAGCUAAUACCGCAUAACGUCGCAAGACCAAAGAGGGGGACCUUAGGGCCUCUUGCCAUCGGAUGUGCCCAGAUGGGAUUAGCUAGUAGGUGGGGUAACGGCUCACCUAGGCGACGAUCCCUAGCUGGUCUGAGAGGAUGACCAGCCACACUGGAACUGAGACACGGUCCAGACUCCUACGGGAGGCAGCAGUGGGGAAUAUUGCACAAUGGGCGCAAGCCUGAUGCAGCCAUGCCGCGUGUAUGAAGAAGGCCUUCGGGUUGUAAAGUACUUUCAGCGGGGAGGAAGGGAGUAAAGUUAAUACCUUUGCUCAUUGACGUUACCCGCAGAAGAAGCACCGGCUAACUCCGUGCCAGCAGCCGCGGUAAUACGGAGGGUGCAAGCGUUAAUCGGAAUUACUGGGCGUAAAGCGCACGCAGGCGGUUUGUUAAGUCAGAUGUGAAAUCCCCGGGCUCAACCUGGGAACUGCAUCUGAUACUGGCAAGCUUGAGUCUCGUAGAGGGGGGUAGAAUUCCAGGUGUAGCGGUGAAAUGCGUAGAGAUCUGGAGGAAUACCGGUGGCGAAGGCGGCCCCCUGGACGAAGACUGACGCUCAGGUGCGAAAGCGUGGGGAGCAAACAGGAUUAGAUACCCUGGUAGUCCACGCCGUAAACGAUGUCGACUUGGAGGUUGUGCCCUUGAGGCGUGGCUUCCGGAGCUAACGCGUUAAGUCGACCGCCUGGGGAGUACGGCCGCAAGGUUAAAACUCAAAUGAAUUGACGGGGGCCCGCACAAGCGGUGGAGCAUGUGGUUUAAUUCGAUGCAACGCGAAGAACCUUACCUGGUCUUGACAUCCACGGAAGUUUUCAGAGAUGAGAAUGUGCCUUCGGGAACCGUGAGACAGGUGCUGCAUGGCUGUCGUCAGCUCGUGUUGUGAAAUGUUGGGUUAAGUCCCGCAACGAGCGCAACCCUUAUCCUUUGUUGCCAGCGGUCCGGCCGGGAACUCAAAGGAGACUGCCAGUGAUAAACUGGAGGAAGGUGGGGAUGACGUCAAGUCAUCAUGGCCCUUACGACCAGGGCUACACACGUGCUACAAUGGCGCAUACAAAGAGAAGCGACCUCGCGAGAGCAAGCGGACCUCAUAAAGUGCGUCGUAGUCCGGAUUGGAGUCUGCAACUCGACUCCAUGAAGUCGGAAUCGCUAGUAAUCGUGGAUCAGAAUGCCACGGUGAAUACGUUCCCGGGCCUUGUACACACCGCCCGUCACACCAUGGGAGUGGGUUGCAAAAGAAGUAGGUAGCUUAACCUUCGGGAGGGCGCUUACCACUUUGUGAUUCAUGACUGGGGUGAAGUCGUAACAAGGUAACCGUAGGGGAACCUGCGGUUGGAUCACCUCCUUACCUUAAAGAA
rnacentral:rRNA from 1 species